rnacentral:rRNA from 1 species
UAUCUCUGUAGAGUCUGCAUAUCAAUAAGCGGAGGAAAAGAAACUAACAAGGAUUCCCCUAGUAACGGCGAGUGAAGCGGGAAGAGCUCAAAUUUGAAAUCUUCAAGGUUUUACCUUGACGAAUUGUAGUUUAAAGAAGUGUUUUCGGUUAGAGGAGUUCGUAAAAGUUCUUUGGAAUAGGACAUCAUAGAGGGUGAGAAUCCCGUAUUUGACCGUUACUUUCCAGCUGUGUGAUACACUUUCAAAGAGUCGGAUUGUUUGGGAACGCAGUCCAAAAUGGGUGGUAAAUUUCAUCUAAAGCUAAAUAUUGGCGAGAGACCGAUAGCGAACAAGUACCGUGAGGGAAAGAUGAAAAGAACUUUGAAAAGAGAGUUAAACAGUACGUGAAAUUGUCAAAAGGGAAGCGUUUGACACCAGUGUUGUUUUCUCGAAAAUCAAUUAAAAAUGGCCGGAUUUUGUGUUGUAUUGACUUUAUCAGCUUUCUGCACAUUUUUCUUGUCUUUUUUAAUGCACUUUUCGUUUAACAAGUCAACAUCAAUUUCUUUUGUUGUAAAAGAGUCAUUGGAAGGUGGCUUCCACUUCGGUGAAAGUGUUUAUAGCCUUUGGCUUCUGCAAUCGGAGAGAUUGGGGUCUGCAGCGUAGAUCCUUCGGGGUUAGAUACAUUUGUGCUAAGUUAUAAUUUUUUAUAGACAACUUGUUGACUAUAAUUAAUCAUGUAGCUUACUCGCUUAUGCUAUUUUACCUACGCUUAGGAUGUUGACGCAUGAGAUAUACGC